rnacentral:rRNA from 1 species
GAUGAACGCUGGCGGCGUGCCUAAUACAUGCAAGUCGAGCGAACAGAUGAGGAGCUUGCCCCUCUGACGUUAGCGGCGGACGGGUGAGUAACACGUGGAUAACCUACCUAUAAGACUGGGAUAACUUCGGGAAACCGGAGCUAAUACCGGAUAAUAUAUUGAACCGCAUGGUUCAAUAGUGAAAGACGGUUUUGCUGUCACUUAUAGAUGGAUCCGCGCCGCAUUAGCUAGUUGGUAAGGUAACGGCUUACCAAGGCAACGAUGCGUAGCCGACCUGAGAGGGUGAUCGGCCACACUGGAACUGAGACACGGUCCAGACUCCUACGGGAGGCAGCAGUAGGGAAUCUUCCGCAAUGGGCGAAAGCCUGACAGAGCAACGCCGCGUGAGUGAUGAAGGUCUUCGGAUCGUAAAACUCUGUUAUUAGGGAAGAACAAAUGUGUAAGUAACUAUGCACGUCUUGACGGUACCUAAUCAGAAAGCCACGGCUAACUACGUG